rnacentral:rRNA from 1 species
UACAGAGGUCUCAAGCGUUGUUCGGAUUCAUUGGGCGUAAAGGGUGCGUAGGCGGCGCGGUAAGUCGGGUGUGAAAUCUCGGGGCUUAACUCCGAAACUGCAUCGAUACUGCCGUGCUUGAGGACUGGAGAGGAGACUGGAAUUACGGUGUAGCGGUGAAAUGCGUAGAUAUCGUAAGGAAGACCAGUGGCGAAGGCGGGUCUCUGGACAGUUCCUGACGCUGAGGCACGAAGGUCAGGGGGAGCAAACGGG